CUUUGUUGUUAGGAAAUCUGUAAGCACUUAUGGUUAUAAUUACCAUCUGUGGUUUUGCCAUUCAGGUAAAGUAGCAGCAGCAGCGCUGAUACCGGUUAGGCUCAGCCCCGCGAGCUGCUAAUCAAAACCAACCCCUUUGCCUUCAGGUUGAAGAUGAUGUCAAACUUGAUUGAACGUCCACCUUUGAUGGCUUUACCUGAGACCCAACAACAUCUGUGUCCUACUCACAGUAGCUCUGAAAGAGCCCUGGUUUCAGUCUGUGGGCUGACAGUGGAUUUCAGUGCAGACAUCAGGCAGCGCAGCUCUUCCCGCAUCAGCUCACACCUGCUCUGCAAAGCUGCUCUCCAUCCAACACACACAGCCUGUUUGCAAGCUCCGUGUAUGUUUGCAUAACCUCGGGUUUUUUUGGCCGGAAACCAGGCUUUUGGGAGGAUUUCUCAGGCUUUCAAAACCCAUCAUGGUGCUGGGGCUGUGAGUACGUGUGCUCUAACCACACAACGUGACAGGCAGGAGGAAGGAGCGGCGGCCGCGGGAGGGAAAGAUGGGUCUGUCCAAGCUGUGAAAGCAGACUUUCUGGGAUCACACCUUGCUUUUUUUCCUCUCCUCAGAGAUAUUUUCUUUCAAACAUCAUAAAAAUGUAUUGGAUAUUCUUUCAAGGAUGCCCAGGAGAGAGAGCAGAAGGAAAGGCAGCCUGCAGCGUGGCUCUGUGGAUAACUGAUUGCUUUGCUCAUUUUGGUCUGACCCAGAACAAAUAUGUUUCAUUUUUCCAAUGAGCUGGUAAAAAAAAUACAGUCCCCUUAUUUCUAGUUUACUUAGAGCUGUUUUUUUUUACUUUUCUUUUUUUUUAUUCUCUUCUUAAUGCAGGGCAAUUUCAGAACAAAAAACCAAAAUCAAGACUUGAAAAAUCACUUUUCAGGGUUUUCUUAUUCUUGUCAAUACGAUUUUCCCCGUUCAGCCUGAUUUCACAAACCAUUUACA
rnacentral:lncRNA from 1 species